rnacentral:tRNA from 1 species
GCCAGUGUAGCAUAAUGGCUUGAGUGUUGGACUGUGACUCUGGAGACCAGGGUUCAAUUCCUGCUCAGUCA